rnacentral:tRNA from 1 species
GGGUAUAGCUCAGUGGUAGAGUGUGUGCUCAGCAUGCAUGAGGUUCUGGGUUCAAGACCUAGUACCUCCA